rnacentral:misc_RNA from 1 species
GAUGAAGAACGCAGCGAAAUGCGAUAAGUAGUGUGAAUUGCAGAAUUCAGUGAAUCAUCGAAUCUUUGAACGCACAUUGCGCCCCUUGGUAUUCCAUGGGGCAUGCCUGUUCGAGCGUCAUUUGUACCUUCAAGCUUUGCUUGGUGUUGGGUGUUUGUCCCGAGGGACUCGCCUUAAAGUAAUUGGCAGCCAGUGUUUGGUUUUGAAGCUCAGCACAAGUCGCGAUUCAAGGCUACACGCCCGCUUCCACAAGCCUUUUUUCACUUUUGACCUCGGAUCAGGUAGGGAUACCCGCUGAACUUAAGCAUAUCAAUAAGCGGAGGA